UAAGCGGUUGCCGAAAAGCUAAUAGUAAAGAGUAGGCA
rnacentral:ncRNA from 1 species